CCUGGGGGAGGCAUCAGUGGGGAAUAUUGGGUAAUGGCCUCAUGGCUGACGCAGCUUCGCCGCGGGUGGUAGGACGCCUUUCGGGGUGUAGACCUCUGUUGCCCGGGACGAACUCCUGGUUUCGACCACUCUGACGGUACCGGGUGAGGAAGCACCGGCUAACUCCGUGCCAGCAGCCGGGGUAAUACGGAGGGUGCGAGCGUUGUCCUGAAUCACUGGGCGUAAAGGGCGCGUAAGCGGAGGGGUAAGCGUGCGGUGAAAGCUCGGGGCUCAACCCCGAUUCCGCCGUGCGAACUGCUCAACUGGACCUUGUCAGACGCGGGUGGAAUUCCGGGUGUAGCGGUGGAAUGCGUAUAGAUCCUGAAGAACUCCGGUGGUUAAGGCGGCCCGCUGGGACAUGUCUGACGCUGAGGCGCGACAGCGUGGGGAGCAAACAGGAUUAGAUACCCUGGUAGUCCACGCCGUAAACCAUGGGUACUAUGUGCUUGGGGGAGCGACCCCCUGGGUGCCGGCGCUAACGCAUUAAGUACCCCGCCUGGGGAGUACGACCGCAAAGUUGAAACUCAAAGGAAUUGACCGGGGCCCGCACAAACGGUGGAGCAUGUGGUUUAAUUCUACUCAACUCGAAUAACCUUAUCUGUGCUUGACAUGCACGGGAGACCCCGGUGAGACCCUGGGCCUCCUUCCGAGCUCGUGCACUUGUGCUGCAUGGCUGUCAUCUCCUCGUGUCUCGAGAUGUUGGGUUAAGUCCCGCAUCGAGCGCAACCUCUGACUCUAGCUGCCAGCGCGUACUGCUGAGGACUCUAGAGACACUGCCGGUGUUAAGCGGAUGAAUGUGGAGGACGACGUCAAGUCAUCGUGGUACUUACGCUGCUGGCACACACGUGCUACUAUCGUCCCGGACAGCAGGUCGCUACGCGCAAGCUGAUGUCAAUCCUCAUCGUCGUCUCUGUUCGGAUUGUCCUCUGCAACC
rnacentral:rRNA from 1 species